GUGCAUUAUAAAGACUGAAAGAUGUAAAGCUUGACAUGAUUUCGUCUUUUACUUAAGAGGAUGUUUGUCCUCCUGUGUUGUCUUAUUUCCUUAUCUUUCUUUCAGGUGUAACAUCUACCAAUGGUACAUGACAGAGACCUCCUCCACCUCUUUGCUGUCUUACUAGUCAAUCCUUCUGAUCAGGUCCUUUCCUAAAUAGUGAAAGGAUCAUGCCAGCCCACAUGAAACACCUGAUCAAGAGCUUGUGAACCUCACUGCUGCGGACACCUGUGUGAUAUUCGACUCUGACUGGAACCCUCAAAAUGACCCGCAGGCUCAAGCUCGGUGUCAUCGUUUUGGCCAGUCUAAGGCGGUGAAGGUGUACCGUCUGAUCACUAGAAACUAUGAGAGGGAAAAGCUGGAUAAAGCUAGUCUGAAGCUCGGGCUGGACCGUGCUGUCCUGCAGAGCAUGAGUGGGAACAAAGAAGGCAACAACAACGGGCCGGUCCAGCAGUUCUCCAAGAAGGAGAUCGAGGACCUCCUGAGGAAAGGAGCCUACGCCGUCAUCAUGGACGAGAACGACGAAGGCAAUCGCUCCUGCUAGGAGGACAUCGACCAGAUCCUGCAGCGAAGAGCCACCAUCAUCACCAUCACCAGUUUGCUUCAAGCAGUGGCUGUACGAGAAA